rnacentral:lncRNA from 1 species
GCAGGGAAGCGGCAUUGAUCGCUCUCCUAAAAGGUGCGCAGGAUGGGGAGGUCGAUGACAGCGAGGGUUUGUUGUUGAAAUUGAAGUCGUUUUGCUUGAAAAUGGACUCCAAGGAGUUUUGGAGGUUCAUAACCGCGAGGAAGAAGGAAUUGGAUGCGCUUAGGGCCCAGACACCGGAGGCUUUAGCCGAAUGUGUGGAUCCGGCGAAGUUCGUGUUGGAGGCAAUAUCGGAGGUCUUUCCAGUGGAUAAGAGAGUCGAAAAGAGCGAGAGGUCGAAUGAUUUGGGGUGGGCUUGUGUUUUGGUGCUGGAGUCUCUGAUACCGGUAGUUGUGGAUCCGGUGCUGGGGAAGUCGCGGCUUUUGGUGACUCCAAGCGUGAAAGAACGAGCGAAGGAUAUCGCUGAGACAUGGAAGGCGAGUUUGGACCAGCGCGGAGGGAUUGAGAACGUUAAAACGCCGGACGUGCAUACAUUUCUGCAGCAUUUGGUGACCUUUGGGAUUGUGAAGGAGGAAGAUGUUGAUUUGUACCGGAAGCUUGUUGUUGGGUCUGCGUGGCGGAAGCAGAUGCCUAAGCUUGCUGUUUCGCUUGGGCUUGGUGAUAAAAUGGCCGGUAUUUUUCCAUCCUGUUUGUCCUGUUUAGUUAUAU